ensembl:rRNA 5S_rRNA 5S ribosomal RNA
UAUCACAGCCAUGCUGCCCCAAACAUGCCCCAUCUCCUCUAAUCUCAGAAGCUAAGCAGGGUAGGGCCUGGCUAGUACUUGGAUGGGAGAAAGGGAACAGCAGAGGACUUGCAGAGUCAUGGAAGUGAGAUGA